rnacentral:rRNA from 1 species
GACGUAGGGUGCGAGCGUUGUCCGGAUUUAUUGGGCGUAAAGAGCUCGUAGGCGGCUCGUCGCGUCGACCGUGAAAACUUGGGGCUUAACCCUAAGCUUGCGGUUGAUACGGGCGGGCUAGAGUUCGGUAGGGGAGUGUGGAAUUCCCGGUGUAGCGGUGAAAUGCGCAGAUAUCGGGAGGAACACCAGUAGCGAAGGCGACACUCUGGGCCGGUACUGACGCUGAGGAGCGAAAGCGUGGGGAGCAAACAGG